ACGAACGCUGGCGGCGUGCCUAAUACACGCAAGUUGAGCGCUGAAGGUUGGUACUUGUACCCACUGGAUGAGCAGCGAACGGGUGAGUAACGCGUGGGGAAUCUGCCUUUGAGCGGGGGACAACAUUUGGAAACGAAUGCUAAUACCGCAUAAAAACUUUAAACACAAGUUUUAAGUUUGAAAGAUGCAAUUGCAUCACUCAAAGAUGAUCCCGCGUUGUAUUAGCUAGUUGGUGAGGUAAAGGCUCACCAAGGCGAUGAUACAUAGCCGACCUGAGAGGGUGAUCGGCCACAUUGGGAAUGAGACACGGCCCAAACUCCUACGGGAGGCAGCAGUAGGGAAUCUUCGGCAAUGGACGAAAGUCUGACCGAGCAACGCCGCGUGAGUGAAGAAGGUUUUCGGAUCGUAAAACUCGGUUGGUAGAGAAGAACGUUGGUGAGAGUGGAAAGCUCAUCAAGUGACGGUAACUACACAGAAAGGGACGGCUAACUACGUG
rnacentral:rRNA from 1 species